rnacentral:lncRNA from 10 species
GAGGCCCAGUGAAAUGCAAAUGCUAGGAGAAAUUUGGAUACAGACAUAGACACACACUGAGGGAAGGUGAAGUAAAGGGGCAAGGAGAAGACGGCCUGCAACGGGAGUGACGCCCUUACAAGCCGAGGGACGCCUGGCAGUGCCAGCUGACACCAGGAGCAGGGAGAGGCCAGGAAGCCUGGCAGUGCCAGCUGACACCAGGAGCAGGGAGAGGCCUGGAACGGUUCUCCCUGGAGACAUCCGGGACACACCUUGAUUUCAGGAUUCCAUGAUAGCUUCCAGAACUGCCAAAGAACGCAUUUCUGUGUUUUCAGCCACCCAGUCUGUGGUAUCUUGUGACUGCCGCCCUAGGAAAGUAAAACAAGGAGUUAAUUCAUGAAGGGUGGGGGAAAUACGUACCCUUUGAAAUACCACCUAGAGGA